GUCGUGAUUUGUAAAACGUAAAAGUAAUGGAUACGAGUCGUACGAUGUGAUUAAAUGUUUAAACGAGCCAUGCUGUUACCGGUAUAUUCUUCUAUGGGCUUAAAGUCUCGAUAAUGGGUAAUGGGAGACUACCAAUGAGACCACGCCUCCAAGACUCGACAGGAUUAUACAAGAUGUUUUACGAGGUUUAUGCUAUUUCAAAAUAUAAUAUAUUUUGAGGUUUUAAAGUUAAUUUUAAUUUUAUUGGAAACUAUUCGAUUAAUUAGCUUUUACAUUAUUUUUUAUAAUUGAUUGAAUAUUUUAAAAUUAUAUCUUUAAAAAUA
rnacentral:lncRNA from 1 species